rnacentral:rRNA from 4 species
AAUACGACUCUCGGCAACGGAUAUCUCGGCUCUCGCAUCGAUGAAGAACGUAGCGAACUGCGAUACUUGGUGUGAAUUGCAGAAUCCCGUGAACCAUCGAGUCUUUGAACGCAAGUUGCGCCCGAAGCCAUUAGGCCAAGGGCACGUCUGCCUGGGCGUCACGC